UGUUAAAAGUAUUAUCUAUUUAUAUUGUUAAAAAUUGAUAUGAUUAACAAAAUAAUUAAAUAGUAACACGUGUGUUUUAUGCUGAUAUAUAGAGACUAAUUUUUUAAUAGUAAAAAUAGAUAAAAUUUUUAACA
rfam:Gossypium hirsutum cultivar TM-1 chromosome 2, whole genome shotgun sequence